rnacentral:misc_RNA from 1 species
GAUGAAGAACGUAGCGAAAUGCGAUAAGUAGUGUGAAUUGCAGAAUUCAGUGAAUCAUCGAAUCUUUGAACGCACAUUGCGCCCCUUGGUAUCCCGAGGGGCAUGCCUGUUCGAGCGUCAUUUCACCACUCAAGCCUGGCUUGGUGUUGGGCGACGUCCUCUUUGGGGACGCGCCUCGAAAUGCUCGGCGGCGUGGCACCGGCUUUAAGCGUAGCAGAAUCUUUCGCUUUGGAAGUCGGGGCCCCGUCUGCCGGAAGACCUGCUCGCAAGGUUGACCUCGGAUCAGGCAGGGAUACCCGCUGAACUUAAGCAUAUCAAUAAGCGGAGGA